UACAGAGGUCUCAACCGUUGUUCGGAUUCAUUGGGCGUAAAGGGUUCGUAGGCGGUGUGGCAAGUCGGGAGUGAAAUCUCUGGGCUCAACCCAGAGACUGCUUCCGAAACUGCUGUGCUUGAGUGUGAGAGAGGCUCGUGGAAUUGCAGGUGUAGCGGUGAAAUGCGUAGAUAUCUGCAGGAACACCCGUGGCGAAAGCGGCGAGCUGGAUCACUACUGACGCUGAGGAACGAAAGCUAGGGGAGCAAACAGG
rnacentral:rRNA from 1 species